CACUUUAUAGUUUAUUAUAAAAUCUUGAGUUGCAGGCUCGGGGAAGGGUUGUCCCUAAAGUGU
rnacentral:tRNA from 1 species